rnacentral:rRNA from 1 species
GAUGAACGCUGACAGAAUGCUUAACACAUGCAAGUCUACUUGAACUUCGGUUUGGGUGGCGGACGGGUGAGUAACGCGUAAAGAACUUGCCUCACAGUUAGGGACAACAUUUGGAAACGAAUGCUAAUACCUGAUAUUAUGAUUUUAGGGCAUCCUAGGAUUAUGAAAGCUAUAUGUGCUGUGAGAGAGCUUUGCGUCCCAUUAGCUAGUUGGAGAGGUAACGGCUCACCAAGGCGAUGAUGGGUAGCCGGCCUGAGAGGGUGAACGGCCACAAGGGGACGGAGACACGGCCCUUACUCCUACGGGAGGCAGCAGUGGGGAAUAUUGGACAAUGGACCAAAAGUCUGAUCCAGCAAUUCUGUGUGCACGAUGACGUUUUUCGGAAUGUAAAGUGCUUUCAGUUGGGAAGAAAAAAAUGACGGUACCAACAGAAGAAGUGACGGCUAAAUACGUG